UCAUGCCUACAAAAUAGUGUUAAUGCAUCAGAUCCCAUUAGAACUCCACAGUUAAGCACGCUUAGGCUAGAUUAGUAUUGGGAUGGGUGACCACUCGGGAAGUCCUACUAGUUUACAUGCC
rfam:Picea glauca, whole genome shotgun sequence.